rnacentral:lncRNA from 1 species
CUCUAAAGGACAGCAGAUUGAGGUUUGAAGCUCUGGAAUGGAACUCUUUUCUGCCAGAGGGUAGAGCAGGAGCUUUGAGCAGCUGAAGAAAGGAACCUGCAAAGAGUCUAUUUGAGUCAGGGAGUAGUCAAGAGACACAGAGGAAGCAGAGGUAAGGAGAAAGAAAAGAAGAGAGAAAGUACGUUUAUG